rnacentral:rRNA from 1 species
AUUGAACGCCGGCGGAAUGCUUUACACAUGCAAGUCGAACGGCAGCACGGACUUCGGUCUGGUGGCGAGUGGCGAACGGGUGAGUAAUAUAUCGGAACGUAUCCAAUAAUGGGGGAUAACUAAUCGAAAGGUUGGCUAAUACCGCAUACGUCCUACGGGAGAAAGCUAGGGACCUUCGGGCCUGGCGUUAAUGGAGCGGCCGAUAUCGGAUUAGCUAGUUGGGGAGGUAAAGGCUCACCAAGGCGACGAUCCGUAGCUGGUCUGAGAGGACGACCAGCCACACUGGAACUGCGACACGGUCCAGACUCCUACGGGAGGCAGCAGUGGGGAAUUUUGGACAAUGGGCGAAAGCCUGAUCCAGCCAUUCCGCGUGAGUGAAGAAGGCCUUCGGGUUGUAAAGCUCUUUCGCAAGAGAAGAAAACUUACCCUCUAACAUAGGGUGAGGUUGACGGUAUCUUGAUAAGAAGCACCGGCUAACUACGUGCCAGCCGCCGCAGUAA